UGAGGAAUAUUGCCCAAUGGACGCAAGUCUGAGGCAGCAACGCCGCGUGGGCGACGAAGGCCUUCGGGUUGUAAAGCCCUUUUCUGGGGGACGAGAAAGGACGGUACCUCAGGAAUAAGUCACGGCUAACUACGUGCCAGCAGCCGCGGUAAUACGUAGGUGGCUAGCGUUAUCCGGAUUCACUGGGCGUAAAGAGCGUGUAGGCGGCUUCCAAAGUUGGCAGUGAAAGGUCCUGGCUUAACUGGGAUAUGCCUGCCAAUACUGGGGAGCUAGAGGGCAGCAGAGGAAAGUGGAACUCGCGGUGUAGCGGUGAAAUGUGUAGAUAUCGCGAGGAACACCAGUGGCGAAGGCGGCUUUCAGGGCUGUUCCUGACGCUGAGACGCGAAAGCGUGGGAAGUGAAGCGGAUUAGAUACCCGCGUAAUCCACGCCUUAAACGGUGGAUACUAGGUAUGGGGGGUAUCGACCCUCUCCGUGCCGAAGCUAACGCCUUAAGUAUCCCGCCUGGGGACUACGGCCGCAAGGCUA
rnacentral:rRNA from 1 species